rfam:Phytophthora infestans T30-4 supercont1.1 genomic scaffold, whole genome shotgun sequence.
GCUCUAAUGGUGUAAUGGUUAGCACUCUGGACUUUGAAUCCAGCGAUCCGGGUCAAAUUCCGGUAGGACCU